UACGUAGGCAGCGAGCGUUGUUCGGAAUUACUGGGCGUAAAGAGUGUGUAGGCGGUGCUCUAAGUUCGGUGUGAAAUCUCCUGGCUCAACUGGGAGGGUGCGCCGGAAACUGGAGUGCUUGAGCGUGGGAGAGGAAAGCGGAAGUUCCUGGUGUAGCGGUGAAAUGCGUAGAUAUCAGGAGGAACACCUGUGGUGUAGACGGCUUUCUGGACCAUAGCUGACGCUGAGACACGAAAGCGUGGGUAGCAAACAGG
rnacentral:rRNA from 1 species